UACGUAGGGGGCAAGCGUUGUCCGGAUUUAUUGGGCGUAAAGAGCGCGCAGGCGGUCGUUCAAGUCGCGUGUGAAAGCCCCCCGGCUCAACUGGGAGGGUCACGCGAUACUGAUCGACUCGAAGGCAGGAGAGGGUAGUGGAAUUCCCGGUGUAGUGGUGAAAUGCGUAGAUAUCGGGAGGAACACCAGUGGCGAAGGCGGCUCACUGGACUGGUAUUGACGCUGAGGUGCGAAAGCGUGGGGAGCAAACAGG
rnacentral:rRNA from 1 species